rnacentral:rRNA from 1 species
UAUGGGAUCUGUCUGAUCUUGGAAGCUAAGCAGGGUCAGGCCUGGUUAGUACUUGGAUGGGAGACCACCUAGGAAGACCAGGUGCCAUAA